CCUACGGGUGGCAGCAGUGAGGAAUAUUGGUCAAUGGCCGGGAGGCUGAACCAGCCAAGUCGCGUGAGGGAAGACGGCCCUACGGGUUGUAAACCUCUUUUGUCAGGGAGCAAGGUGCAGGUCGGGACCUGCUGUGAGAGUAUCUGAAGAAAAAGCAUCGGCUAACUCCGUGCCAGCAGCCGCGGUAAUACGGGGGAUGCGAGCGUUAUCCGGAUUGAUGGGGUUUAAGGGGUGCGCAGGCGGCGGCACAAGUCAGCGGUAAAAUCGCGGGGCUCAACCCCGCUGCGCCGUUGAAACUGUGUCCCUGGAGUGCGCGAAGGGUAGGCGAAAUGCGUGGUGUAGCGGUGAAAUGCAUAGAUAUCAC
rnacentral:rRNA from 1 species